rnacentral:rRNA from 1 species
CCUACGGGAGGCUGCAGUGGGGAAUAUUGGACAAUGGGGGCAACCCUGAUCCAGCCAUGCCGCGUGUGUGAAGAAGGCCCUCGGGUUGUAAAGCACUUUCAGUGAGGAAGAACGCCUGGUGGUUAAUACCCAUCAGGAAAGACAUCACUCACAGAAGAAGCACCGGCUAACUCCGUGCCAGCAGCCGCGGUAAUACGGAGGGUGCGAGCGUUAAUCGGAAUUACUGGGCGUAAAGCGCGCGUAGGUGGCUUGAUAAGCCGGUUGUGAAAGCCCCGGGCUCAACCUGUGAACGGCAUCCGGAACUGUCAAGCUAGAGUGCAGGAGAGGAAGGUAGAAUUCCCGGUGUAGCGGUGAAAUGCGUAGAGAUCGGGAGGAAUACCAGUGGCGAAGGCGGCCUUCUGGACUGACACUGACACUGAGGUGCGAAAGCGUGGGUAGCAAACAGGAUUAGAUAUCCCUGUAGUC